AUUAACCAUUACUUACAAACUAAAUAAAUACUGAAUAACUAAAUCCCUCACACACAAUGAAAAAAAACGCGCUUUUAUUUUGACACGCGCCCAUCCCCCCACAUCUCACGGUCUGACUGGAGUCGAGUUUCACAGAGCAACGCAACAGGAGGAUGACACAACAGUUAUAAGAGCAUUAACAGUAAGGACUAACAUUAACUGACUGUCUGUCCUCAACCAAAGUCAUUCAAGACCUGUAAAAGUUUAGCACAAACGUUUCCCGCGCAAGUUUGAAUCUCUCUCAGUCAGGGGAGAUUGACUGACUGACUGACUGACUGUCUACACGCCACCAAACAGUAAUUUAUACAGAAACCUUUUAAAGUAAGGACUAACAUUAACUGACUGUCUGUCUGUCUGUCUGUUCUCAAGCAAAGUCAUUUAAGACCUGUUAAAGCACAAACGUUUCCCGCGCAAGUUUGAAUCUCUCUCAGUCAGGGGAGAUUGACUGACUGACUGACUGAAUGACUGACUGACUGUCUACACGCCACCAAACAGUAAUUUAUACAGAAACCUUUUAAAGUAAGGACUAACAUUAACUGACUGUCUGUCUGUCUGUUCUCAAGCAAAGUCAUUAAAGACCUGUUAAAGUUUAGCACAAACGUUUCCCGCGCAAGUUUGAAUCUCUCUCAGUCAGGGGAGAUUGACUGACUGACUGACUGUCUACACGCCACCAAACAGUAAUUUAUACAGAAACCUUUUAAAGUAAGGACUAAGGUUAACUGACUGUCUGUCUGUCUGUCUGUCGGUUCUCAACCAAAGUCAUUCAAGACCUGUUAAAGUAAGGACUAACGUUAACUGACUGUCUGUCUGUCUGCUCUCAACCAAACAGUCAUUCAAGACCUUUCAAAGUUUAGCACAAAAGUUUCCAGCACAAGUUUGGAUCUUUACCACUGAGGGUGGCUGACUGUUCUCGACCAACCAUCAUUCACACGCAAAAACUUUAAAGAUAAGUAUGAACGUGCCCAGAGCAGUUUUCGAUCUUUACCAUUAAGGAGGCGGACUGACUAUCCUCUACCACCCGUCAUUAACACAACAAAAACUAAAGAAAUGUUACUCCAUAUGGACCUAUUCAUUUACUCAUUAUGCUGUGAGUACACCACAGUUUUAUCAGUGAAAAAAUUUAUAUUUGUGUGUUUUCUCACUGCUUGGCAAGGACAGAUGUGGCCCUGUUAAAAAUGUUUAAAUGUUGUUUGGUUAAGGAACAGCACACUGAUUUUGUUUUAAAAUAUUCCUGUUUGGACAGUCUGUUAAAGUCAAAGGAAUACUUGAUAUAUUUCUAAGUAAAGUGUAAAUGAAAAAAUUAGUUUUUAAUGUUGUGACUGAACACAAUGUUGUGAAUGAUUUGGACUGAACAGCACACUUCUGUUUUAUAUCUGAACCUUUUGUAAAAUAAAUGAUUGUUCAUUAAACUCACUGUGUAUUUUAUCUUUUCUGUUAUCAUUUUUUUAUACUAAUGUUUAAAAUUUACCUUUACUCUAAACAAUUGGCUAAACCAACACAAAUACACUGAGUCAUAUGCACUUAUAAUUUAAAGUUUACAAUAUUUAGAUUGAGAUAUAUGUAUAAGUUUUAAAACCAUGAGUGUACCCUGUCAAAGCCAUUUUUGUACCCUUUUUGAAGGGUCCAUAUUUGUACUGUUAAAUAAAGGUACAAAAUUGUCACUAGAGGUACAAAACUGGUCCCUUAAGGUACAAAUCACAAGGGUACAAUUUUGUACCCUCUGCCAAGGGUACAAAAACUGUACCCUUGAGGGUACAGCCCCAGUGACAAGCCAUUGUACCCCUAAAGGUACAAUUAUGUACUUUCUUUUCUGAGA